GAGCUUUGUUGCUGAAGGAUUUGUUAUCUGAAGGAUUUGUUGCUGAAGGAGUUAUUACAGUAUACUGCUGAAAUGAAAAAAGCUUUGGCUAACCUUUAGUAGAUUUUCUUGUGGAAGGCCUAUGAACUCCAUUCAGCCCCGGUACUCAAAAUCAAUUCCUGGGUUCAGAAUUUUUAAUUCCAAGUAAAAACAACAAACAGACCUAUGGCACAUUAAAGAUUAGCACAUUUAUUAUGGCAGAAAUUUUUAUGGCCUCAAGUCCACCUGGUUUGUCAUAUGAAUGAACUCCUAGUUUGCAGGUAUCCAUUUGCUGUUCGGGAGCUGCCGGGUUAGCAGAACAUCAGGUCAGCCGGGAGCUGUGUGCAUGAAUGGAAAAGAAAAAGCCACAAAUACUUCUACUGGCGAGUCCUUCCAACAGUGAUUUCAACCUGUCAAAUCUACAAUACAGCUGCUGCUUCUCUGGAAACCAAACAACUCCCCCCUCCCCCCUUUCUAUGGCAACAAACGCUGAGCCCUUCACAAUCUGACCUGCUGAGGAAAACCUGUUUUUAAUUAAAUGUUAAUUGCUUUAAUGCAGCCUGCAUUAUGUGGAAACCUCAAAUUAUUUUAAUCUGGAUUAAAAAGAAAACA